rnacentral:rRNA from 1 species
CCUACGGGGGGCAGCAGUGGGGGAUAUUGCACAAUGGGGGGAACCCUGAUGCAGCGACGCCGCGUGAGGGAAGAAGGUUUUCGGAUUGUAAACCUCUGUCUUUGGUGACGAGAGUGACGGUAGCCAAGGAGGAAGCCACGGCUAACUACGUGCCAGCAGCCGCGGUAAUACGUAGGUGGCAAGCGUUGUCCGGAAUUACUGGGUGUAAAGGGAGCGUAGGCGGGAGAUCAAGUUGGACGUUAAAUUCAUCGGCUCAACCGGUGCAAGCGUUCAAAACUGGUUUUCUUGAGUGGAGUAGAGGUAAG